rnacentral:rRNA from 1 species
GAGGGGGGUGCUAGCGUUAUUCGGAAUUAUUGGGCGUAAAGGGUGCGUAGACGGCGUAUUAAGUCAAUCGUUAAAUUCCCCGGGCCUAACCGGGGGCAAGCGGUAGAUACUGAUGUGCUAGAGGGUGGAAGAGAGAAGUGGAAUUCUCGGAGUAGCGGUCAAAUGCGCAGAUCUCGAGAGGAACACCGAUGGCGAAGGCAGCUUCUUGGUCCACUCCUGACGUUGAGGCACGAAAGCGUGGGGAGCAAACAGGAUUAGAUACCCUGGUAGUCCACGCUGUAAACGAUGAUCACUAGACGUUAGCCCCGUUAAACGGGGUUAGUGUCGUAGCUAACGCGUUAAGUGAUCCGCCUGGGGACUACGGUCGCAAGACUA